UAUAUAUUCAAACUUCAUCUUUGUUGCAUUAACACUGCAUGUGCUGAAGCACCAUUCUGCAUUUUGUACACAGCCUUUCUUCAGCAAAAUUAGUCCUCGUUUUCUAUAAGGCCUGUUUUCCUUUUUGUAACACAGGAAAAAAAAAAAAAAAAAAAGACCACACACACACUCCCUCAUUCAGCUCCAACAAACAAAUAAGCUGCAGGAGUUCCCAAUGGAGGGUGAGAGGCUCAGAGGAGACGCCAUCACCCCCAUCCCUCUGGCGGCGCGGCCUGAGACGACAGAACGCGCGCCCGGGACGAACAUUCUGACGACUCUGCGGGGUUACUUUUCAGGGAGGAAACCCAACUCAGCCGAAAUCAGCAGCUGUGACGUCAUCGGCAGCGAGGGCCAGAGAGAGAGCAGCGACAAG